CCCCUCUCAGGAUGGCACCUGGAGAGUUUCCAGGACUCUCCCAGUCUGGGCUAUGAGAGAGAGAAUCAAGCAGAGGCCUACUCAUUCCAUUCCUAGUUUGGCCAGUGGCUAGCAAGCGGAAGGCAAUCUGCUACAAGU